AUUGAACGCUGGCGGCAGGCCUAACACAUGCAAGUCGAGCGGAUGAAGGGUGCUUGCUUCUUGAUUCAGCGGCGGACGGGCGAGUAAUGCCUAGGAAUCUGCCUGGUAGUGGGGGAUAACGUCCGGAAACGGGCGCUAAUACGGCAUACGUCCUGAGGGAGAAAGUGGGGGAUCUUCGGACCUCACGCUAUCAGAUGAGCCUAGGUCGGAUUAGAUAGUUGGUGGGGUUAAGGCCUACCAAGGCGACGAUCCGUAACUGGUCUGAGAGGAUGAUCAGUCACACUGGAACUGAGACACGGCCCCGACUCCUACGGGAGGCAGCAGUGGGGAAUAUUGGACAAUGGGCGAAAGCCUGAUCCAGCCAUGCCGCGUGUGUGAAGAAGGUCUUCGGAUUGUAAAGCACUUUACGUUGGGAGGAAGGGCAGUAAGUUAAUACCUUGCUGUUUUGACGUUACCUACAGAAUAAGCACCGGCUAACUUCGUG
rnacentral:rRNA from 1 species